rnacentral:rRNA from 1 species
UACGGGGGGUGCGAGCGUUAAUCGGAAUUACUGGGCGUAAAGCGCAUGUAGGCGGUUUGAUCAGUCGGAUGUGAAAUCCCCGAGCCUAACCUGGGAAUGGCAUUCGAUACUGUCAGGCUAGAGUAGGCUAGAGGGAAGGGGAAUUCCGCGUGUAGCAGUGAAAUGCGUAGAUAUGCGGAGGAACACCAAUGGCGAAGGCACCUUUCUGGGGUCAUACUGACGCUGAGAUGCGAAAGCGUGGGGAGCAAACAGGGUUAGAUACCCUGGUAGUCCACGCCCUAAACGAUGUCAACUAGUUGUUGGGAGGGUUUAACCUUUCGGUGACGAAGCUAACGUAUUAAGUUGACCGCCUGGAGAGUACGGCCGCAAGGUUGAA